CCGUGGGAGGGAAGGCAUUCUCUGUCAAGCUGCUGUCACCUUACCUGAAGUAAGGAGUCCACGCCUGCAUGUCCGAGGAAAACAGUUUUCUCAAACACAUUAGUUGAAAAACUGAAGACACUGCCUAAAAUACAAGCUGAGUUAGAGACAGCCCUUGUAAGACUAGAAAAAGAAAUGAAAACUAAGUAACAUGAAUUAACAUAGUCCAGGGUCACAAAGCAAAAUGGAACAAGAACCUGGAUCUGAAUUCAGAGGCAGAAUGCUGGGAAAGGCCUUGUGAGGACAUAACCAGGAAGGAGAGUCCUCACCAGAACCUGACCAUACCGGCACCCUGAUCUCAAACUUCCAGCUUCCAGAACCAUGAGAAAUCAAUGUUUGUUGUUUUAGCCACCCAGUCUAUAGAAAUUUGUUAUAGCCACCCUAGCUGACUACCACAUUGGACAUCACAGCAAACACUACAACCACAAAUCCAGUUGGCUUCACAUGCUUGAGCUCACCACUUCUCACCAGCUCCACUGCUACCUCCAAAUAAAAGAAAUGGCUGAAAUCCUUUGGAACCAAUAUGACCAACUGGAGUCGGUGCAGAAGGAGCUUGCUGACAACACAGCCUGAAUUUCCACUGUAUGUUUCAUACCAACUCCUCCUGAAUUUGCACAUGUGAUACAUGAGAUAGCAUGAAGAGAUAACUGAGCAUGCCCAAGGACUUUCCAGACUUCCGCUUUCCUUCCACCAAUCACCUGCUAAUCUCAGAAUCCACCCCCUGAAACUUUUCUAAUAAAAA
rnacentral:antisense_RNA from 1 species